rnacentral:rRNA from 1 species
GGCGACGACGGGUAUCCGGCCUGAGAGGGCGACCGGACACACUGGGACUGAGACACGGCCCAGACUCCUACGGGAGGCAGCAGUGGGGAAUAUUGGGCAAUGGACGAAAGUCUGACCCAGCGACGCCGCGUGAGGGAUGAAGGCCUUCGGGUUGUAAACCUCUUUCAGUAGGGAAGAAGCGAAAGUGACGGUACCUAAAGAAGAAGCACCGGCUAAUUAUGUGCCAGCAGCCGCGGUAAUACAUAGGGUGCAAGCGUUGUCCGGAAUUAUUGGGCGUAAAGAGCUCGUAGGUGGUUUGUUGCGUCGGGUGUGAAAUUCAGGGGCUCAACCCCUGACCUGCACUCGAUACGGGCAGACUAGAGUUUGGUAGGGGAGACUGGAAUUCCUGGUGUAGCGGUGGAAUGCGCAGAUAUCAGGAGGAACACCAAUGGCGAAGGCAGGUCUCUGGGCCAAUACUGACACUGAGGAGCGAAAGCGCGGGGAGCGAACAGGAUUAGAUACCCUGGUAGUCCGCGCCGUAAACGAUGGGCGCUAGUUUGUGGGGACCUUCCACGGUUUCUGCGACGCAGCUAACGCAUUAAGCGCCCCGCCUGGGGAGUACGAUCGCAAGAUUAAAACUCCAAAGGAAUUGACGGGGGACCCGCACCAAGCAGCCGGAAGCAUGC